rnacentral:rRNA from 1 species
GCCUACGGGACGCAGCAGUGGGGAAUAUUGCACAAUGGGGGAAACCCUGAUGCAGCGACGCCGCGUGAGUGAAGAAGUAUUUCGGUAUGUAAAGCUCUAUCAGCAGGGAAGAAAAAAGACGGUACCUGACUAAGAAGCCCCGGCUAACUACGUGCCAGCAGCCGCGGUAAUACGUAGGGGGCAAGCGUUAUCCGGAUUUACUGGGUGUAAAGGGAGCGUAGACGGCGCGGCAAGUCUGAAGUGAAAAGCAGGGGCUUAACCCCUGAACUGCUUUGGAAACUGCCAUGCUAGA